rnacentral:lncRNA from 1 species
GUUUUGAAACGAAAACACGUACCGUAUUAUAUGAGAGUAGUCUUUUGUAUCAUUUAUAGUUCGAAGAGCGCCUCUAGCGGAAAAAGUAGAAAAAUUGCGCGAUUAUUAAAUCCAGUACUAUGUAGUAAAGCAAUCUAGUUCCGAUCUACUAGUUAUUCCAUACACGAAUCAUCUAAAGGAGACUGUCAUUUUUAACAACGACCAUCAAAAUACUAUAUUCAGUUCGAAGGAGAACAACAUACGACUAAUCUUCAGUUAACGUUGAAGACGAAAUACGAACUGGAUAAUUGCAGAUAAUCAGGCUAAUAGUUUUAAUAUUAAUCUGUUUAAGAUGCAAUUUUAUACUGAAAAGUUAUAAGAAAUUUAGAAGUUAUGUUUGAGUUUGGUGUCGAUGUUGCAUUGCUGCAGGGUGCAUUGAUUUCGUCGUUACGCAAUCUAAAUACAUCAGAUUUUCAACAGGAUGCAGAAGAUUCAAAAUUGGAAUAUGUUUUUCUGAAGAAGAAGGAGUGUAUGGAAAUAGCUCAUACUGUAGUUGCUUCGUGUUCAGAGUUAAUUGAUGAACUAUGCAAUCAGUCAUGCUAUUUAGAAGAGAAUGAUUGCAAGCGGAGAAUGCAUGCAGCUAUACUAUAUGUUGCUAUGAG